UAGUCCACGCCGUAAACGAUGGAUACUAGCUGUUCGGAACUUGUUCUGAGUGGCUAAGCGAAAGUGAUAAGUAUCCCACCUGGGGAGUACGUUCGCAAGAAUGAAACUCAAAGGAAUUGACGGGGGCCCGCACAAGCGGUGGAGCAUGUGGUUUAAUUCGAUGAUACGCGAGGAACCUUACCAGGGCUUAAAUGUAGUCUGACAGGGCCAGAAAUGGCUUUUUCUUCGGACAGAUUACAAGGUGCUGCAUGGUUGUCGUCAGCUCGUGCCGUGAGGUGUCAGGUUAAGUCCUAUAACGAGCGCAACCCCUGUUGUUAGUUGCCAUCGAGUAAUGUCGGGAACUCUAACAAGACUGCCGGUGCAAACCGUGAGGAAGGUGGGGAUGACGUCAAAUCAUCACGGCCCUUACGUCCUGGGCCACACACGUGCUACAAUGGCAGUGACAAUGGGACGCGACUCUGCAAAGAGAAGCUAAUCUCAAAAAACUGACCUCAGUUCGGA
rnacentral:rRNA from 1 species